GACGAACGCUGGCGGCGUGCUUAACACAUGCAAGUCGAACGGAAAGGCCUCAGCUUGCUGGGGUCCUCGAGUGGCGAACGGGUGAGUAACACGUGGGUGAUCUGCCUUGCACUCUGGGAUAAGCUUGGGAAACUGGGUCUAAUACCGGAUAUGAACUGCCUUUAGUGUGGUGGUUGGAAAGUUUUUUCGGUGCAAGAUGAGCUCGCGGCCUAUCAGCUUGUUGGUGGGGUAAUGGCCUACCAAGGCGUCGACGGGUAGCCGGCCUGAGAGGGUGUACGGCCACAUUGGGACUGAGAUACGGCCCAGACUCCUACGGGAGGCAGCAGUGGGGAAUAUUGCACAAUGGGCGGAAGCCUGAUGCAGCGACGCCGCGUGGGGGAGGACGGCCUUCGGGUUGGAAACGCCUUUCGACAGGGACGAAGCUUUUUGUGACGGUACCUGUAUAAGAAGCACCGGCUAACUACGUG
rnacentral:rRNA from 1 species